rnacentral:lncRNA from 1 species
GUUCGUAUCUAUAUAUAUCUUGGUUAGCUCACUCGCUAUAUCGGCAAAGUUCGGGAAGUAAACCCGAUGCAUAAUUAAUGAGAUGAAUAGGCACACUACACGAUAUGAAUUAUCAAUUAUUAACACUUCUGUAGUUUAUGAAAACAUUUUAGCGAUCUUAUUGCUUAUAUUUAGUACAUAUCUUUGAUUUUAGCAGCUUUAAAACUUGUUCAUAAUUUUG